rnacentral:misc_RNA from 1 species
CGUUAUCCCCUUGUGCAACUACACUUCCAGUUUUUCUUGCUGUUGGGAAUUCAUCCUCCAUGAUGGUGCUUGCUAUCAUAGUGCUGCUAUUUAGCACUAUUACUGUGAUGACUUCACUGGUGGCUCUGUCAUUCUAUGGUGCCAGCCAGCUCAAGUUUCACUGGGUGGAGCGGUAUGACAAACUUCUUGUGGGUUCUGUUUUAUGUUUGGUAGGAGUCUUGACACUAAUUUUCCAUGAUCAUGAUCAUGAUGGAGAUGGAGGUUUCUCUGGAGAACAUUUGCAUAGAAAAAUCAUUGUUCUUUAAGUGCUCUUAUUAUCUUACAGUGUAUUUUGAAACCUUGGAGUUCGUAGAAUACCUCCUUCUGGUUCAACAAGGCAUUGGCUGUAAGUGACUGUUGAUUGUGCCCAAACGAGUAUUAAUAUUGUUUUGUUGAUCUUCAUUCUUAUCCAUAUAGUCCUUGUGUUAGCGAAUGUCAUUGCUUUCUUUGUAAAUGAAUAGUUUUUGAUUUUGUGUCUUGAGUUCAUUCAUUCAGAUACCAG